rnacentral:lncRNA from 1 species
CCUUGAAUAGAAAGAAAUUUAGAAAAAUAAAUUGAGAAACAAUUGUAUAGUCACAUCAAGAUAGACUAGAAGUCAAUGUAAUCUCAUUACAAAAGUAGUUACAAAGAAAGAAAUGUUACUCAAUUCAUAAUAAACUAAGUAUAGUUUUAUCCUAAAACAAUAUCAUAAACUUCCUAAAUGUUACUUCCAUUAGAUGAUUGUCUUGUACCCAAGGAGACUCUGGCUCAUUUGCAUCACGAGCUUGCUGAAAUAAUAUAAAAAAAAUUAAUAAAAUAAAUUCAAUUACAUGUACUCACAUUUUGUAAAUAAUAUAUAAAAAAAUAAUCAAAUAGAAUUCAGUUUUAAAAGUCAUUAUUCAAAUUUUCCUUGGCUACUGCAGUUACUACUUUACACCAUAUAUAAAAUGCAAUGGACCAAUACUUCUCACACUAUGCAUAUAAAUCUUACUGCAACAAUCAAUAAAGC